ensembl:lncRNA
CAGCAUUCCAACUUUUGCAGAUUGUGCUGAUUUGAUCAAAUUCUCAAUGAGUAGCACUUUUGUCUCUAAUGAGAUUAUUUUACUCUGCCUUGCCUUCCCGUUCCGUAGUGAAAGUCGGAAGCCGGCUCGAUGUAGUCAUCUCUCUUAUGUCACUACAUUCCAUGGCACUAAUUAUAGCUAGUGUAGUACAGUCUGUGUGUGUGUGCGUGUGUGUGUGUGUGGAUGCGCUGCCUCUGACUUGUUAGCAGCACAGUUUCACAGAUCAAGACAGCAAUGCAUGAGGAGUGAUGACUCUCUCCUUCCUCAUCGGCUGACGUUCCUGCUUUUUUUUUUUUUUUUUUUUCUUUUCCCAAACCAGACAGACCGCAACAGAACAAAGACAAAAGCGGGAAUCAUGGAAAGGGCCGGAACACCAGAACAAGGGGACAGAAAGCAGUUUGUCUGCCUGAAAGAAAAUGGCCAUAAUUUGGGAAUGUUUGUCCUUUUGUGCCAGACUGAAAACAACCGGACGUAAACAGAGCCAGAACCAGAACCUCUGAGGCGUCUAGUGAAGUGCGUGAAUAGAAGCGUGUGAUCUCAUGACGUCUGACUGAAACAGGAAUGAAGAAUUUGGUUUCUUUUUCUAAUCAGAGACAGAAGCUGAAGCUUAGCCUCCUUUAGCGCUCUAAAUAUUCAUAUCUGUAUGCGGAUUUCAGCCCAAAGUGGGUGUGGCCUAAACGCUAAGGGUCGUUUUUCUUUUUGUUUUGUUUUUUUGCACUUAGCAAGUACAAAUGUCUUCAAUAUAGUCCAAAUGUAUCUAGUAUUUCUCAUAAGGUUCCAAUAAACCAAAUAUAAGAUCAUUUAACCUAUUUCUAGACAUUAGUACUCAUUUCAAGCUUGUUGUUUUCUUAUUCUAUUGGCAGAUUAUUUUGCUUCUUUCUAGACAUAAAUGCUUCAAAUGAGCAAAAUGAUCUGCCAAUAGAGCAAGACAAUACUUCAAGCUUGAAUUGAAGACAAAUGGCUUGAAAUAGGUUUAAUAAUCUCAGAUUUGCUUUAUUGUGCUCUUAUACUAGUUAAAUCUGACUAUUUCUACUUGCUAAGAUGUCUUCUUCUUUUUUUUUAUUAAACAGGACUGUUUAUAAUCCUGCUCUUACAGUUUCUAUCUGUCCAUGAUCUCCUAACAAAUUCAGUUAGCUCCCCAAAAUAUAAACAGACUUAUAGGCUAAUUUAAACCACAACCCUGACCAGGCAGUUACUAUGGAUGAAUGGAUAGAUAGAUAGAUAGAUAGAUAGAUAGAGAGAGAGAGAGAGAGAGAGAGAGAGAGAGAGAGAGAGAGAGAGAGAGCCAAUAGUUGUGGAGUUGGGUAGAUAGAUAGAUAGAUAGAUAGAUAGAUAGAUAGAGUGCAGUUGGAUAGAUAGAUAGAUAGAUAGAUAGAUAGAUAGAUAGAUAGAGUGCAGUUGGAUAGAUAGAUAGAUAGAUAGAUAGAUAGAUAGAUAGAUAGAUAGAUAGAUAGAUAGAUAGAGUGCAGUUGGAUAGAUAGAUAGAUAGAUAGAUAGAUAGAUAGAUAGAUAGAUAGAUAGAUAGAUAGAUAGAUAGAUAGAGUGCCAAUAGUUGUGGAGUUGGAUAGAUAGAUAGAUAGAUAGAUAGAUAGAUAGAGUGCCAAUAUGCCAAUAGUUGUGGAGUUGGGUAGAUAGAUAGAUAGAUAGAUAGAUAGAUAGAUAGAUAGAUAGAUAGAUAGAUAGAUAGAUAGAUAGAAACUUUCCUUAUCCUGCGGGAAGUUUCAGCAUUACAGUAGUGGUAACCAUGGUAAUAAGAUAG